rnacentral:lncRNA from 1 species
CCCCACCCCCAGUCGCUACAGAAGAAAAAAAAAAAAAUUAACCGGGCGUGGUGUCUCGCGCCCAGUGGUCCUAGCUCCUCGGGAAGUCAUCAGAGAUGCCAGACCAGAGGAAAUACAGCAAUCAAAGCAGGCAAACCUGUUGCUAAAUGUGUUUUUGAGAGUAAAACUCCUUGGCCAAAUACUUCAAGACGCUGAUGAUUCUCAAAACUGUCAUCAUGAACCAUCUGGAGAAGGCCAGAUGUUUACAUUUCACGGAAAUGUGGUCCUGAAACCUUCAUUCUGAGCGCAGAGCUAACCACCUCCUCCUAUUCUUGGCAACACUAGUAAAUGAUACAUUACCACAGAGCAGGUGAAAUGCAGCAGAGACAUCUACGCUAGAACCUGAGGGUUGCUAUGUUGUAAGAAGCAUGCCCAGGUUUAUACUAGGACGCUCGGCUGGAGCAUUGGUUCACCGCUGUCCACUAUUUUAAAGACAUGCCAGAAAUAACAAUCCUAUUAUCUGAUUUCCAAGUAAGUCAGGAUGUUCCUACUAACAGCCCUUCCUUUUAUGGUAGUGAGAAUAGUCUAGAAACUUAGUGUUUUAUGAUAAUUCAUGUGCCGUGGCUCUCUUCCAGGAGAUUUUAAUCUCCCUCUGGCCUUGUCUUAUUCACCUUUAUGUCCCAGGACAAAAAUGUUGGACUGUUUGUUAUAUGUUAAUAAGUGGGCUGGGCGCGGUGGCUCACGCCUGUAAUCCCAGCACUUUGG